CCAGUUUGAAGGUUUUUUAGCAUAUGUAAUGGUAUGAAUGUGUUGUAUUAGUAAUCCCUUGUGUUAAGCCGUUGUUUUAGUGUUCUUUUGAUGAGUUUGGCUUGUUGUUAUAAAAAGGGUUUGUUUUGGCGAGUUUGAACGCUUUUGAGCAUGUGUAAUGGCAUGAAUGCGUUAAGCCGUUGUUUUAGUGUUCUUUUGAUGAGUUUGGCUUGUUGUUAUGAACAUUGUUCGUUUUGGCCAGUUUGAAGGUUUUUGAGCAUGUGUAAUGGCAUGGAAGUGUUGAAUUAGUAAUCCCUUGUGUUAAGCUGUUGUUUUAGUGUUCUUUUGAUGAGUUUGGCUUGUUAUGAAAAGUUUUUGUUUUGGCCAGUUUGAACGUUUUUGAGCAUGUGUAAUGGCAUGAAUGCGUUAAGCUGUUGUUUUAGUUUUCUUUUGAUGAGUUUGGCUUGUUGUUAUGAACAUUGUUCGUUUUCGCCAGUUUGAAGGUUUUUUAGCAUGUGUAAUGGCAUGAAUGUGUUGAAAAAGUAAUCCCUUGUGUAAAGAUGUUGUUUUAGUGUUCUUUUGAUGAGUUUGGCUUGUUGUUAUGAAAAGUGUUUGUUUUGGCGAGUUUGAACGUUUUUGAGCAUGUGUAAUGGCAUGAAUGCGUUAAGCCGUUGUUUUAGUGUUCUUUUGAUGAGUUUGGCUUGUUGUUAUGAACAUUGUUCGUUUUGGCCAGUUUGAAGGUUUUUGAGCAUGUGUAAUGGCAUGAAAGUGUUGAAUUAGUAAUCCCUUGUGUUAAGCUGUUGUUUUAGUGUUCUUUUGAUGAGUUUGGCUUGUUGUUAUAAAAAGUGUUUGUUUUGGCGAGUUUGAACGUUUUUGAGCAUGUGUAAUGGCAUGAAUGUGUUGAAUUAGUAACCCCAUGUGUUAAGCCGUUGUUUUAGUGUUCUUUUGAUGAGUUUGGCUUGUUGUUGUGAAAAGUGUUUGUUUUGGCGAGUUUGAACGUUUUUGAGCAUGUGUAAUGGCAUGAAUGCGUUAAGCUGUUGUUUUAGUGUUCUUUUGAUGAGUUUGGCUUGUUAUGAAAAGUUUUUGUUUUGGCCAGUUUGAACGUUUUUGAGCAUGUGUAAUGGCAUGAAUGCGUUAAGCUGUUGUUUUAGUUUUCUUUUGAUGAGUUUGGCUUGUUGUUAUGAACAUUGUUCGUUUUCGCCAGUUCGAAGGUUUUUUAGCAUGUGUAAUGGCAUGAAUGUGUUGAAUAAGUAAUCCCUUGUGUAAAGAUGUUGUUUUAGUGUUCUUUUGAUGAGUUUGGCUUGUUAUGAAAAGUUUUUGUUUUGGCCAGUUUGAACGUUUUUGAGCAUGUGUAAUAGCAUGAAUGCGUUAAGCUGUUGUUUUAGUGUUCUUUUGAUGAGUUUGGCUUGUUGUUAUGAACAUUGUUCGUUUUGGCCAGUUUGAAGGUUUUUUAGCAUAUGUAAUGGUAUGAAUGUGUUGAAUUAGUAAUCCCUUGUCUUAAGCCGUUGUUUUAGUGUUCUUUUGAUGAGUUUGGCUUGUUGUUAUAAAAAGGGUUUGUUUUGGCGAGUUUGAACGCUUUUGAGCAUGUGUAAUGGCAUGAAUGCGUUAAGCCGUUGUUUUAGUGUUCUUUUGAUGAGUUUGGCUUGUUGUUAUGAACAUUGUUCGUUUUGGCCAGUUUGAAGGUUUUUGAGCAUGUGUAAUGGCAUGGAAGUGUUGAAUUAGUAAUCCCUUGUGUUAAGCUGUUGUUUUAGUGUUCUUUUGAUGAGUUUGGCUUGUUAUGAAAAGUUUUUGUUUUGGCCAGUUUGAACGUUUUUGAGCAUGUGUAAUGGCAUGAAUGCGUUAAGCCGUUGUUUUAGUGUUCUUUUGAUGAGUUUGGCUUGUUGUUAUGAACAUUGUUCGUUUUGGCCAGUUUGAAGGUUUUUGAGCAUGUGUAAUGGCAUGAAAGUGUUGAAUUAGUAAUCCCUUGUGUUAAGCUGUUGUUUUAGUGUUCUUUUGAUGAGUUUGGCUUGUUGUUAUAAAAAGUGUUUGUUUUGGCGAGUUUGAACGUUUUUGAGCAUGUGUAAUGGCAUGAAUGUGUUGAAUUAGUAACCCCAUGUGUUAAGCCGUUGUUUUAGUGUUCUUUUGAUGAGUUUGGCUUGUUGUUAUGAAAAGUGUUUGUUUUGGCGAGUUUGAACGUUUUUGAGCAUGUGUAAUGGCAUGAAUGCGUUAAGCUGUUGUUUUAGUGUUCUUUUGAUGAGUUUGGCUUGUUAUGAAAAGUUUUUGUUUUGGCCAGUUUGAACGUUUUUGAGCAUGUGUAAUGGCAUGAAUGCGUUAAGCUGUUGUUUUAGUUUUCUUUUGAUGAGUUUGGCUUGUUGUUAUGAACAUUGUUCGUUUUGGCCAGUUUGAAGGUUUUUUAGCAUGUGUAAUGGCAUGAAUGUGUUGAAUAAGUAAUCCCUUGUGUAAAGAUGUUGUUUUAGUGUUCUUUUGAUGAGUUUGGCUUGUUAUGAAAAGUUUUUGUUUUGGCCAGUUUGAACGUUUUUGAGCAUGUGUAAUAGCAUGAAUGCGUUAAGCUGUUGUUUUAGUGUUCUUUUGAUGAGUUUGGCUUGUUGUUAUGAACAUUGUUCGUUUUGGCCAGUUUGAAGGUUUUUUAGCAUAUGUAAUGGUAUGAAUGUGUUGAAUUAGUAAUCCCUUGUCUUAAGCCGUUGUUUUAGUGUUCUUUUGAUGAGUUUGGCUUGUUGUUAUGAAAAGUGUUUGUUUUGGCGAGUUUGAACGUUUUUGAGCAUGUGUAAUGGCAUGAAUGCGUUAAGCUGUUGUUUUAGUGUUCUUUUGAUGAGUUUGGCUUGUUGUUAUGAACAUUGUUCGUUUUGAUCAGUUUGAAGGUUUUUUAGCAUGUGUAAUGGCAUGAAUAUGUUGAAUUAGUAAUCCCAUGUGUAAAGCCG
rnacentral:lncRNA from 1 species